rnacentral:lncRNA from 1 species
GAGUCCCAGCUGUGAAGACUGCGCUGAGCAGCUGCUUCUAUACUGCCUCGCAGUGGAUCGCAGCGAUUGCGUCGUUUGAGCGACAGAUUGCGCGGCGGGGUAUAUAACAGAGAAUUCGGCUAGCGGUGUGAUAGCAGCCGGACUUGUUGUGUGGAGCAGUGAGUGUGGAAAAUUCGUCGUGGAGUCCAAGAGAGCGAUUGAGCGAGCGAUGACUGCGGAUGUUAGACCAUGCCCUGGCGGGCCACUAUACGUCGACGUUGAUGGCUUGCGGAUCAACAAGCGCUUCUCGCCGGCGGUGGUGCGUGGCGCCGUGCGUUACCCAGCCACUGCGAGUGACACGUUCUUGCUGUCGUACCCAAAGUGCGGGACCCACUGGGCGCAGCAGAUUGCCUUCCUGAUUGCCCAUCGAGGCGUCCCGCCCGUCGACGUCCUGGAACUUCACAUGUACGCGCCUUCGCUCGAGAAGUUCGGCGCCGAGACGAUGGCAGAACUCCCGACAGAGGCCUAAUUCGCUCGCACUUGCCCUACGACCUCGUCCCGAAGCAUCCGCA